rnacentral:lncRNA from 1 species
GUUUUAUUAAUUGAAGGAACUCAGUAUUCAGAGAUUCCAGCAUAGUAAAUAUGGUGUGUUAUAUUGGUAAAUUUAUACAAAGAGCCUUUAAAGAUGUUCACUGCUCUAUUUCAAAAUUAUAAGCUUUUUAAAGACAGUUAUAAAUGGAUAGCAUAUAUAAAUAAUGGGAGCAAAUGUUAAUGAAAUUUAAAGGUCGGUGUCCUUGUUUUUGAGAUAUAAUCAGUUGAAAAUAUGGCGGG